rnacentral:rRNA from 1 species
AUUGAACGCUGGCGGCAUGCCUAACACAUGCAAGUCGAACGGUAACGCGGGGGCAACCCUGGCGACGAGUGGCGGACGGGUGAGUAAUACAUCGGAACGUGCCCAGUAGUGGGGGAUAGCCCGGCGAAAGCCGGAUUAAUACCGCAUACGACCUACGGGUGAAAGCGGGGGAUCGCAAGACCUCGCGCUAUUGGAGCGGCCGAUGUCAGAUUAGCUAGUUGGUGGGGUAAAAGCCUACCAAGGCGACGAUCUGUAGCUGGUCUGAGAGGACGACCAGCCACACUGGGACUGAGACACGGCCCAGACUCCUACGGAGGCAGCAGUGGGAAUUUUGGACAAUAGGGGGCGAACCCCUGAUCCAGCCAUGCCGCGUGCGGGAAGAAGGCCU